rnacentral:lncRNA from 1 species
GGAGGUUGUGGGUCCGGUGUGAGAUGUCAUCCCUGGGCACCACAAUGGAAGGAGAAAGAGACCCAGUGACAGGACUCAAAGGUCUUCCUUCAAUUCUGGGCAGGAAUCGAGAAUAAUCAGUGGGACAGACUCUUUGAUUUGUUAUACAGACAUCAACAAACUCUGUUUCCUCCCCAACCUCCUGAGCUCAAUAACUUUUAAUCAUUUUACAAAAUGAAUAAUAAAAAUAGAAAAAAGUCAAUGUGAAAAGAAUCU